UGAAAGUUUCCUGUUAUUGUUAGUCAUUUGACGCCAUCCAGAAAUGAUUGCAAGGAAGACGAAUCUUUACAGUUUAGUAACACUUCUUGAACAGAAUAAAAAAGAUGGAUCUUUACAAAGGCAACCACUCUUUAUUCAUACUGAGGUAUUCUUCUUGAACACGAUGGCUUUGUUGCUGGUAGAAUCAAUACCCACAGGACAAGAGAUUUGCUUUAUAUGUGUUGUUUUUACUAGCUGCCCUACCACGUAUCCUCGUGACCGGAUUUUGAACGACAAUGUCAUUGGAACCGGGCUACUUGUUGGGGGAACAGUCAAAGUUGAUGCAGCUCCAUACAUAGGAACCUUUAUUCCCUCCAAGUUGACAGAUACUCUCCGGUGACUGUUUCUUGGUUGGUAAUAUUUCUUCAACUGCACAUAGGAUCACAAUUCACAAGUCAUGAAAGUUAUGUCCUUGGCGAUCGAGGAUGAAACAAUCACAAAUUCCUCUUUAAGAUGAUAUUUGGCUCGUUUGGAAUGACUACGGGUUUAAAGUACUGAAAUUCAUUCUAAACCGGACUUUGUUUUAAAUUCAUAAUUUCAUUGCCUAAGGCAAGCUGGACUCCAAUCCAAGCUCUUUUCCGAACCAAUCAGUUUCAAAGUUAUGAGUAACAAAACAGAAGCUCGGCAUAGUUUAUUACCUGACCAGAGGCCACAACAAUCUCUGAAUAAAUGAGAUCAAUUGGUGUGGAGGUAACAUGAAUUCCAAAUAUUGUAGCAGGGUUGUAUACACUUAAUCUCAAUGUGCUAUUCAAUGUCAGCAACUUGGUAGGAACCCCAGUGGAAUCUGAACCUUCUCCAACGUAAAAAUUGUGCACAGCCAAGCUCUGGAAGAAAUCAGAUUUUACAUUAUCGAAAGAAUGAACGUCUCUGUUCAUGAAGGGCUGGAAAUUUGACAUGGUCAAGAAGAGAGGCUAACCAAAUGAUCUAGCUUCAUAAAUUUGAAUUUCGAUUCAGUUAAAAGAAUUUUUAUGAAUAGAUAUAGAUGAUUAAAUGAGUUAUAUAAGCAGUUAGUUUCUUUAUUUUCCUUCAAACAUAGAAUCUUUAUGUUAAAAUUUCUACCAUAUCAUUUAUUUCUUCUCGAGUAAACAUAGGUAAUCACAUCAUUUGUUAAACUCAUGUUGAUAUCAUCUAGAACAGUGUAAAGAAUACAAAUCAUAUCACAGUAAUUAGUAACUUGAUUACCUUGACAGAAAUCUGAGCCUUGAAAGGCCUGCUCGCUCCCCAAAUGAUAAGGCAGAAAAGUGUGAACAAAGCAAUGAAACUCAGGAGAGCAAUUAGAACUUGAAUACGUCUUGACAGAGCUUUGUCUUCAAGGUCAUCAUAAGGUCCUUCUUCCAUGAUUACAUUACACUCAGGCCAUCCUUUUUCAUUACUAAUCUGCUUCUUACUUCCUUUUCUGCCAGAAGAUGACCGGAAAAUGCCCGAAAAUCGGCUCGCCGAUGAGUUUCUCGAAUGCCGGCCAAACGACGGGUGUGAAGGUGACUCAAUUGGGCUGUUGUUAUAGAUUGGAGUGGUAUGCAUUGAGGAAGAUUUAUCCCCAUCGUUAGAACAUCUUGAAGGGCUCUGAACAUAGUAUGUUGGGCGCUUUGGUGACCUCGAAGGCGAUGAUGGCGCCAAACUGGUAACAUCAGACUCAGAUUUUGUAGAAAUCAUUUCUUAAGAUUAUGCUAACACAGAUUACGAUAAUUGAAGAUAGUUUCAGAACAACAAAAACCACAUAAUAGUAGGAACCCAAAUGGGGUUGGAGAAAGAACAAAGCACUAACACAUUCAAUAGAAACUUGUAUAGGCACUGUGGAUAAUUCUUCAACUCUUUUGCUGAAAGGGCCAAGCAGGAAGGAGAUGAAAUGCUAUAAGGUCGGAGAACCAAGCAAGGCCUAAAAGCUUGAAGCCAAAGGACAACCACUAGUAGGGAGAAUGAGUGUCGGCAGCAAAUUAUUAUCUAAUUUACAAGGUGGAAAUUUGAACCUUCUAGUCAUGUUUCUUAUUGUAGUGGAUCUUCUUAUUAUAUAAUUUGAUUUAACAACAAA